rnacentral:rRNA from 1 species
UACAGAGGGUGCAAGCGUUAAUCGGAAUUACUGGGCGUAAAGCGCGCGUAGGCGGCUGUCUAAGUCGGGUGUGAAAGCCCCGGGCUCAACCUGGGAACUGCAUUCGAUACUGGACGGCUAGAGUAUGAGAGAGGGAGGUAGAAUUCCACGUGUAGCGGUGAAAUGCGUAGAGAUGUGGAGGAACACCAGUGGCGAAGGCGACUCUUUGGUCUGUAACUGACGCUGAGGCGCGAAAGCGUGGGGAGCAAACAGG